rnacentral:tRNA from 1 species
GCCCUCGUAGCUCAGCGGAUAGAGCAACUGCCUCCUAAGCAGUAGGUCGCGCGUUCGAGUCGCGCCGAGGGCG